AGGGCAAAAAGAAAAAAAAUGGGAAGAAGAAAGAAAAAGCCAGCUCAGCUUAAAUUCUGCAGAUUGAGAAGAGAGACUGUGGUUGCUGACAUUUUGCCUGAUGAUUGGAUUGUACCAGCAAGUUGGUGUUUUCAAUGAAAAGCCUGUGUACAGACACUUACCUGCAAGGAAUGCAGGUGGUCUGUGUGCUAUUUUAGGAUUGACAGUGGACCAUUGUCCAAAAAGCAUGGAAUCACUGGUUGAAACAACCACCAUUGCUACAAAGUAAAGAGAUGUCCAUUUAGCACCUCUUCUGAAGAACACAAUAUCUGACUAGGAGGCCCAGCCAUUAGUGUUUACCACCAUAAUACUCAAUAUGAGUCUGACUCCUGCUUGUACAACCUCAAAGAAAGAAACAGAGCUACCAAAAAAAAAAAAAAAUAAAAUAAAAAAAAUCUUCUGCUUAUGCACUCUUUACGUCAGAGUGCAUUAGAGUCAGAGUUCCUCAGGACAUAAGUAAUAAGUAUAAUGUAUGCUGCCAGUCAUCUGAAAAAAAAAAAAAAAAAGACUGAGGCUGUUGGGCAAGUAGGGCAAUCCUACACAGUACUGUACCAGGGCAGGCUAGUAGAGGAAGGGCUUGCUAGUCGUGAACAUUCAGUUAGGGACAGGCUAUUAAGGCUAUUUAAGUACCUAAACUCCCAUUAGAAAUAAGCUGUGAGGCACAUGAAUUGGUGCAUUCAAAUCUCAGGAAAACACUGAAUGCUUUAAUCUGUGGCCAACCCCUUACAAACAGAAUUGCAGAAUUCAGUCUGCAAACAUCAUCAUGAAACAAACCCUACAGAAUUCUCACAAUUAUUACUAUUAGACCAAGUAAUCAUCUCCAAAGGUAAAUGAUGGAAGCACUGUUGCUUGAGUUAUUUAAAGCAGAAUUGGACAAUUCUCUAGGGAAUAUUUUGGGGGGGAAAGUGGGGACUUGGUUACAAGACUUAGUUGAGACAGAGGCUAUAAAUGGGAAGACAUUAAUGCAGUGCAGCAUUACUUAAAAAACAGUGCUGUUUUAUGGGGUUUUUAUAAUCUGAAACUAAGGAAAUUCUUACUUCCCACAGCAGUCUCUGCCACCCUCAGUUGCUCCUAUUACAUUGACCAGUAAUAACGCCUUGUGGCUUUUCAUUCAUUCUACAGUGCUGCAACUUCUGCCUUUCUUGUCAUCUGAUGUCAGAAACAGGAAGAUCUUGUACCUUUCCCAUGAGGUUGUGUAUGGCUUUUGAUUCCAAGGUUUACUGCCCACAUGCAUUCAGUUGAUCCAGCAGGGCUUGGACCCUCAGCACGGAAGUCUUAGAGCAAUGCGGUAAAAAGCACAAGGCAGAGAAACAAGAGAGGUGAAUACAAGGAAGAUAAUCGCUUCUGUUUAUCCAAGAAGUCCAACGUUCACACUAAAUACUUCUUCUUUAAUUCUUUGAAAAAUGAGUCAUGAAAUAAGCGCAAGAGAGAACAUACUCAUGA